GACGAACGCUGGCGGCGUGCUUAACACAUGCAAGUCGAACGAUGAACCUCGAAAUGAUUUCUUCGGAAAGAUUUUUGAGAGGAUUAGUGGCGAACGGGUGAGUAACGCGUGAGCAACCUGCCUUAGACAAGGGGAUAGCCUCGGGAAACCGUGAUUAAUACCCUAUGAGACUCCACUUACGAGUGUAAGAGAAGUUAAAGCUAUUGCGGUCUAAGAUGGGCUCGCGUCUGAUUAGCUAGUUGGUGAGAUAAAAGCCCACCAAGGCGACGAUCAGUAACCGGUUUGAGAGAGUGAACGGUCACAUUGGAACUGAGACACGGUCCAAACUCCUACGGGAGGCAGCAGUGGGGAAUAUUGCACAAUGGGGGCAACCCUGAUGCAGCGACGCCGCGUGAGCGAUGAAGGAAUUCGUUUCGUAAAGCUCUGUCCUUGGAGAAGAUAAUGACGGUAACCAAGGAGGAAGCACCGGCUAAAUACGUG
rnacentral:rRNA from 1 species